UCCGUAGGUGAACCUGCGGAAGGAUCAUUAACUAAUUUGUUAAAACCAUGUUUUUUUUCGGCUUGGAGUAAAAUUCAAGGCGAUUUUUACAUGUCUUCUUUCGGGGAAGAGAAAAAAAAUAAUCUACUGUGAAUUUAUUUUAGCUUGGGGUUGGCCAUCUUAGUUACUUGGGCGAGCUUUCGGGUUCCCCUGGGUAGCGAAAUAUUAUACUUAUUGAUUUUAUUAGUUUAAAAAAUUGAAAACAAUCAGCCUAAAAAACUGAUUAAAACAACUUUUAACAACGGAUCUCUAGGCUCUCGCAUCGAUGAAGAACGUAGCAAAUUGCGAUAACUAUUGUGAAUUGCAUCUCGUGAAUCAUCAAGUUUUUGAACGCAUCUUGCACUCUUUGGUAUUCCAAAGAGUACACUUGUUUCAGUAUCAUAUUAAUCCCCAACGCUGUAUGGUUUUAAUUAAUCAUUCUGGGCGGAAAUGUUACUCAUUGGCUGAAGAAAGGUAUUAAGUUACCUGAGCGGCUUAAAUUGAAUAUUAGGCGUAAUGACCCGUUGGUUCAUUCUUUGCUAGUAAAAUAAAUAUUAAUGUGUUUCUUAUUUUACGCUUGGCAAGGUUGAACCGUUAAGGGGAGUUUCUGGCCGACAAACACAUUAUUUUGAUCUGAAAUCAAGUGGGAUUACCCGCUGAACUUAAGCAUAUCAAUAAGCGGAGGA
rnacentral:rRNA from 1 species